AUUGAACGCUGGCGGCAGGCCUAACACAUGCAAGUCGGGCGGUAACAGGGAGAAGCUUGCUUCUCUGCUGACGAGCGGCGGACGGGUGAGUAAUGUAUGGGGAUCUGCCUGAUGGCGGGGAUAACUACUGGAAACGGUAGCUAAUACCGCAUAAUGUCUACGGACCAAAGCGGGGGACCUUCGGGCCUCGCGCCAUCAGAUGAACCCAUAUGGGAUUAGCUUGUAGGUGAGGUAACGGGCUCACCUAGGCGACGAUCCCUAGCUGGGUCUGAGAGGGAUGAUCAGCCACACUGGGGACUGAGACACGGGCCCAGACUCCUACGGGGAGGGCAGCAGUGGGGGGAAUAUUGCACAAUGGGCNCAAGCCCUGAUGCAGCCCAUGCCGCGUGUAUGAAGAAGGCCUUCGGGUUGUAAAGUAC
rnacentral:rRNA from 1 species